UACGUAGGGGGCAAGCGUUGUCCGGAUUUAUUGGGCGUAAAGAGCGUGUAGGCGGUUAGGUAGGUCCGUUGUGAAAACUCGAGGCUCAACCUCGAGACGCCGAUGGAAACCAUCUGACUAGAGUCCGGAAGAGGAGAGUGGAAUUCCUGGUGUAGCGGUGAAAUGCGCAGAUAUCAGGAAGAACACCCGUGGCGAAGGCGGUUCUCUGGGCAUGAUCUGACGCUGAGGAGCGAAAGUGUGGGGAGCGAACAGG
rnacentral:rRNA from 1 species